CUACCAUGCAGUCGAGCGGUAGCACAGAGAGCUUGCUCUCGGGUGACGAGCGGCGGACGGGUGAGUAAUGUCUGGGAAACUGCCUGAUGGAGGGGGAUAACUACUGGAAACGGUAGCUAAUACCGCAUAAUGUCGCAAGACCAAAGUGGGGGACCUUCGGGCCUCAUGCCAUCAGAUGUGCCCAGAUGGGAUUAGCUAGUAGGUGGGGUAACGGCUCACCUAGGCGACGAUCCCUAGCUGGUCUGAGAGGAUGACCAGCCACACUGGAACUGAGACACGGUCCAGACUCCUACGGGAGGCAGCAGUGGGGAAUAUUGCACAAUGGGCGCAAGCCUGAUGCAGCCAUGCCGCGUGUGUGAAGAAGGCCUUCGGGUUGUAAAGCACUUUCAGCGGGGAGGAAGGCGGUGAGGUUAAUAACCUCAUCGAUUGACGUUACCCGCAGAAGAAGCACCGGCUAACUCCGUGCCAGCAGCCGCGGUAAUACGGAGGGUGCAAGCGUUAAUCGGAAUUACUGGGCGUAAAGCGCACGCAGGCGGUCUGUCAAGUCGGAUGUGAAAUCCCCGGGCUCAACCUGGGAACUGCAUUCGAAACUGGCAGGCUAGAGUCUUGUAGAGGGGGGUAGAAUUCCAGGUGUAGCGGUGAAAUGCGUAGAGAUCUGGAGGAAUACCGGUGGCGAAGGCGGCCCCCUGGACAAAGACUGACGCUCAGGUGCGAAAGCGUGGGGAGCAAACAGGAUUAGAUACCCUGGUAGUCCACGCCGUAAACGAUGUCGAUUUGGAGGUUGUGCCCUUGAGGCGUGGCUUCCGGAGCUAACGCGUUAAAUCGACCGCCUGGGGAGUACGGCCGCAAGGUUAAAACUCAAAUGAAUUGACGGGGGCCCGCACAAGCGGUGGAGCAUGUGGUUUAAUUCGAUGCAACGCGAAGAACCUUACCUGGUCUUGACAUCCACAGAACUUUCCAGAGAUGGAUUGGUGCCUUCGGGAACUGUGAAAACAGGUGCUGCAUGGCUGUCGUCAGCUCGUGUUGUGAAAUGUUGGGGUUAAGUCCCGCAACGAGCGCAACCCUUAUCCUUUGUUGCCAGCGGUUCAGGCCGGGAACUCAAAGGAAACUGCCAGUGAUAAACUGGGAGGAAAGUGGGGGAUGACGUCAAGUCAUCAUGGGCCUUUACGACCAGGGGCUACCCACCUGGCUACAAUGGGCUUAUACAAAAGAGAAACGGACCUUCCCGGAAGACCAAGCGGAACUCCUAUAAGUUAUGUCGGGAAAUCCGGGAUUGGGAGUUUGGCACCUCCGACUCCCUGGAAAUGCGGAAUUCCUCCUGAUAUCCGUAAAACCAAAAAUGCCCCCGGUGUAAAAUACUUUCCCCGGGCCCUUGGUACCCCCCCGCCCUCCACACACCAUGGGGGAAUGGGGUUGUUCCAA
rnacentral:rRNA from 1 species